rnacentral:rRNA from 1 species
AUACAUGCAAGUCGAACGAGUUCUCGUUGAUGAUCGGUGCUUGCACCGAGAUUCAACAUGGAACGAGUGGCGGACGGGUGAGUAACACGUGGGUAACCUGCCCUUAAGUGGGGGAUAACAUUUGGAAACAGAUGCUAAUACCGCAUAGAUCCAAGAACCGCAUGGUUCUUGGCUGAAAGAUGGCGUAAGCUAUCGCUUUUGGAUGGACCCGCGGCGUAUUAGCUAGUUGGUGAGGUAAYGGCUCACCAAGGCGAUGAUACGUAGCCGAACUGAGAGGUUGAUCGGCCACAUUGGGACUGAGACACGGCCCAAACUCCUACGGGAGGCAGCAGUAGGGAAUCUUCCACAAUGGACGCAAGUCUGAUGGAGCAACGCCGCGUGAGUGAAGAAGGCUUUCGGGUCGUAAAACUCUGUUGUUGGAGAAGAAUGGUCGGCAGAGUAACUGUUGUCGGCGUGACGGUAUCCAACCAGAAAGCCACGGCUAACUACGUGCCAGCAGCCGCGGUAAUACGUAGGUGGCAAGCGUUAUCCGGAUUUAUUGGGCGUAAAGCGAGCGCAGGCGGUUUUUUAAGUCUGAUGUGAAAGCCCUCGGCUUAACCGAGGAAGCGCAUCGGAAACUGGGAAACUUGAGUGCAGAAGAGGACAGUGGAACUCCAUGUGUAGCGGUGAAAUGCGUAGAUAUAUGGAAGAACACCAGUGGCGAAGGCGGCUGUCUGGUCUGUAACUGACGCUGAGGCUCGAA